GCUGGACUGUAACUGACGCUGAGNCACGAAAGCGUGGGGAUCAAACAGGAUUAGAUACCCUGGUAGUCCACGCCGUAAACGAUGAAUGCUAGCUGUUAGCGAUAUACUGUUAGCGGCACAGAGAAAUCGUUAAGCAUUCCACCUGGGGAGUACGCCGGCAACGGUGAAACUCAAAGGAAUUGACGGGGGCCCGCACAAGCGGAGGAACAUGUGGUUUAAUUCGAUGAUACGCGAGGAACCUUACCUGGGCUUAAAUUGCAGUGGAAUAACGUGGAAACAUGUUAGCCUUCGGGCCGCUGUGAAGGUGCUGCAUGGUUGUCGUCAGCUCGUGCCGUGAGGUGUCGGCUUAAGUGCCAUAACGAGCGCAACCCUCAUCGAUAGUUACUAACAGGUUAAGCUGAGGGCUCUAUCGAGACUGCCGACGUAAGUCGUGAGGAAGGUGGGGAUGACGUCAAAUCAGCACGGCCCUUACGUCCAGGGCUACACACGUGUUACAAUGGGGGGUACAAAGGGCAGCUACCUGGCGACAGGAUGCUAAUCUCAAAAACCUCUCUCAGUUCGGAUUGGAGUCUGCAACCCGACUCCAUGAAGCUGGAUUCGCUAGUAAUCGCGCAUCAGCCACGGCGCGGUGAAUACGUUCCCGGGCCUUGUACACACCGCCCGUCAAGCCAUGGGAGCCGGGGGGACCUGAAGUAUGCAACCGUAAGGAGCGUCCUAGGGUAAAACUGGUGACUGGGGCU
rnacentral:rRNA from 1 species